GAAGUGCAGAAUUUCGAGGUGGAGGUACGAGGCGACACUUUUUACUCAAAAGAAGUCCGGAAAGUCCUGAUCAAAGUUUAUCAUCCAAAGACAUUCGUCCAAACGGAUAAACCAAUCUACCUCCCUGGACAAACGGUGCAUUUCAGACUCAUCACACUGGACUCCAAGUUGAGACCUGCCAAUGGGCUGUACAAUAUCAUCGAAAUUGAGG